GUUCCCCAUCUUCCUCACACACACACACACACACACACACACACACACACACACACACACACACACAGCUAACAACUCUCCUGGCGCAGCUCGCCGGCGGAUAAUCAAGAGGAAAAGCAUCAGCGAGCCGACUGUGUGAGGUUCACUGAGAUCAAGGGAUGAAUUUAAAAAAAAAAAAAAUCUGAAUCUCUUCGCCGUGUUUGAAGGAGCCAAAAGCAAGAAAGAUGUCUGACGACCACAGACUGGCGCACGUUUAUCUGCUCACACUGGUGAAAAUAUCAACUACUCAGAAAUAAGAAAUAAGAAAUAAGACGUGUUUCCAGCUCAAAUCACAACCGGAUGUCAACGCUGAAACCCUCCCGACUGUUAACUAUACAUAUAAAACUCACGUUGACGUUAUAUCUAUUAUUUCUGACUCCAAAAAAGGGAGGAUUCAAUGAGACUUCUCCUAAUGAAAGAUGUAAAAUAAGAAAGAAAAAGACAGAUAAAAGAGCAACAUACUCCACUGACGAGCUUUAGUUGCCUAAAUUAAACCAGAAACUCUUACCUCAAAGUUUUUCACUUCAUGAUUUCCCUAAAUUCCCCCCAAAAAAGUCACUCAUCAGCUCCCGGAGAACAUGUCUAGACUUGUAUUCAUGCUUUGUUUACAUGUAAGCAGAAGAACAAAGCACCGUGUGAUUGUCAGUUAAACCGUCUUGUGCUGUUUGACCUCCUUCAGCUGCUGUUUGAUUCCAGGAGAAAGACGAACGCAGGAAAAUAUGAAUGAGCGCAGAUACAGAUCGGUGUAGGGAAGACGGAUACGAGCAGGGAGAAGUGGUGAUGACCUCUUUCUCCGUUGCCUUUUUCCUGUAAUUGUCCACCAUUGAUUAAAGACAGAAACCUCUGAGUGAACAAACCAAGGUGGAGGAGGAGGAGCAGCUGGUCACCUGCUGUCAGGGUGGCAAUGGCAGGAAAUCCACCAUAAACACUCGCUCUGUUUUCAGCGGCGGCUUCGCUCGGUGCUUCUCAUCCCAGAGGACCUCCAGACUGAUUGGAAAAAGCUUUUUUUCCAGAUGCUUCAAACAAACCAUUCAUCCCGACAACAAUGAGGUCAUCCACUAUUCUGGCUCUCCAAACAGGAAUCCCUAAACAAAGUUUGGUUGGUUCAUGUUUGGCCGCAGCGUUGUGUGUGUUCACUGGUGUGUGAACUAUUAUGGAAGGACAUGAAUGGGAGUUUGUAAAUUGGACGGCGAUGGCCCUCCACCUCCCCCCGCUGAAGUGACAUCAGCCGAGAGCAGGAAGGCUUUGAAACCGAGCGAGGACAGAGAGGACAUUUAGCUCCCUGGUUUUUAAAAAAAAACAUCUUACUGCAAUCUGGGUGUUUUUCUCCUAAAUAUAAAGUUUCCAUGGACACUGAGUGCCUCCUUAACAUCAGGCCUUUUAAACUUUUUAAAGCUACACUGCUCUGUUUACAAUGUACGACUGAAAAAAAGGGGGAAAAAAAUCUUUCCUUUAAUUCCUCCAUUUGUUUUUCUCCCAGAAUUUCAGUCAAGGAGAAACAUUUCUACAAGCCGUCUGCAGAGACACUCGCUGCUAAGAUAAUAAUUCAUUUAUUGAUCAAUUAAUCAUAGUGAAUAAACAGUGAUGAAUAUGCUGUUAUUGCAGCAGAGUUCAGCAAAACAU